AUGCUCGCCUUGGCAGCAUAUAUACUAAAAUUGGAAUGGUAUAGAGAAUAUCACCAUGGCCUCUGCAAAGGGAUCACACACAAAUUCAUGAAGUCUUCCAUAACUUC